rnacentral:rRNA from 1 species
AUGGCGGCCACGGUGACCACGAAACUGCGGGAGCCCGGACGGGACGUCGACGGCGAGCUGAGCGAUGUACCCGCCGUCCGACCCGACCCCGGCCUCGGCCCGCCGUUGGACAGGGCGCCGACCCACGAACCAGUGCCCACGGCGAUGCCGCCGGCAGCGGAGUCCUCGUCUAUGAGAAAGCUGGGGAAGCUCUUCAGGCUCACCGAAGUGCACCUCUGGGAUGAUUUUUAUGUGAAGACUGAGGAUUGCGAUGCUACAGAGACUACUGAUUGCACGGGAUCUCAAACAACUGAAACCCGCAAUAAAGGAGCCAAAACAACAGAUGAAGAUCAUUCAUUUGUUGAAGAUAUGGAAUUGGCUAGUCGCAUGGCAGAUCAGACUGGUGAUGACACGCAUCUGAAUGAGCAGAGACAUCAACUUAUUUACAAUGACGCACUCAGUUUAUCAGACAUUCCUGACAAAGAGUUGAUAUAUAUAAGUGUGAUAGCUACCAUUGAUGAAGCACAACAUGACAAAAAUAUGCAGAAUGAUAGUCCAAUGACUGAAGUGUUAGAAAUGAACCAAGAAGGUACUACCAACAAAAAUAAAAAGAGAAUUAGUUUUCCUUGGCAAGGGUGGCGUUCAAUAUGCAGCUUCUUGCUAUACCUACCCUUCAUGUAUUGGAAUCAGCGGUACUCGCUUUUCUCCCUUUUUGAUAGUGGUAUAAAGAUGGAUGAAGAGGGGUGGUUUUCGGUGACGCCAGAGCCCAUCGCAAAGCAUCAUGCAUCUCGUGUUGGUGCGGGCAUAUUGAUUGACUGUUUCGCAGGAGUUGGUGGUAAUACCAUCCAGUUUGCCACAAAGUGUAAGCAUGUUGUUGCUGUUGACAUUGACCCACAGAAGAUUGGUUAUGCACAGCAUAAUGCAACUAUUUACGGAGUAAAUGAUCACAUAGACUUUAUCGUAGGAGAUUUUAUUAAUAUAGCACCUCAUCUGAAGGGAGAAACUGUUUUCAUGUCACCCCCUUGGGGUGGACCAGACUAUGCCAAAGUCGAUGUUUACGAUAUGAAAACCAUGCUUAAGCCUUGUGAUGGGUACCAUCUCUUCAAACUUGCCACGGCUAUCGCUUCGAGAGUAGUCAUGUUUCUUCCUCGCAACAGCGAUCUAGAGCAACUGGCGGACAUGUGCUUGUCGGUCGAUCCUCCAUGGGCGGUUGAGGUGGAGAAGAAUUUCCUCAAUGGGAAGCUGAAAACCAUAACAGCGUACUUUGAAGAACACGUGAGCACAGACGUGGAACACCAAUGA